rnacentral:rRNA from 1 species
CCUACGUGGUGCAGCAGUGGGGAAUAUUGCACAAUGGGCGAAAGCCUGAUGCAGCAACGCCGCGUGAAGGAAGAAGGGUUUCGGCUCGUAAACUUCUAUCAACAGGGACGAAAGAAAUGACGGUACCUGAAUAAGAAGCCCCGGCUAACUCCGUGCCAGCAGCCGCGGUCAUACGUAGGGGGCAAGCGUUAUCCGGAAUUACUGGGUGUAAAGGGUGAGUAGGCGGCAUGGUAAGCCAGAUGUGAAAGCCUUGGGCUUAACCCGAGGAUUGCAUUUGGAACUAUCAAGCUAGAGUACAGGAGAGGAAAGCGGAAUUCCUAGUGUAGCGGUGAAAUGCGUAGAUAUUAGGAAGAACACCAGUGGCGAAGGCAUCUCACGAAUCCGCGAUUGACGCUGAUGCACGAAAGCGUGGGUAUCAAACAGGAUUAGAUACCCUAGUAGUC